AGGGGAACAAUUUUGCUUUGAGAAACCAUCCAGGCAACAUAAUAAGACCUGAAAUGUUGACAUUGUUGGAAUCAGACGAUAUUCUCAAGGCAGUUGAUGACUUCUACUACUCUACAUUGUUACCUCAGCUUUCUAGAUUUUUAGACCCUUCAAAGUCCCCUUGGAGUGAGUGGGUAGAAAUACUGGAUGCAAACACAAGCAUUCCAGAUUAUCAAUUAGAAGAAGUAAGGGUUGCUUGGAAAUUGUGGAAGGCACAGUAUGAUAGCAG
rnacentral:misc_RNA from 1 species